CCUACGGGUGGCAGCAGUGGGGAAUAUUGCACAAUGGGCGAAAGCCUGAUGCAGCAACGCCGCGUGAAGGAAGGAGGGUUUCGGCUCGUAAACUUCUAUUAAAAGGGACGAAAGAAAUGAAGGUACCUGAAUAAGAAGCCCCGGCUAAAUACGUGCCAGCAGCCACGGAAAUACGUAGGGGGCAAGAGUUACACGGACUGACUGUGUGUAAAGGGUGAGGAGGCGGCAGGGUAAGCCAGAUGUGAAAGCCUUGGGCGUAACCCGAGGAUUGCAUUUGGCACUAUCAAGCUAGAGUACAGGAGAGGAAAGCGGAAUUCCUAGUGUAGCGGUGAAAUGCGUAGAUAUUAGGAAGAACACCAGUGGCGAAGGCGGCUUUCUGGACUGAAACUGACGCUGAGGCACGAAAGCGUGGGGAGCGAACAGGAUUAGAUACCCUUGUAGUC
rnacentral:rRNA from 1 species